rnacentral:rRNA from 1 species
AUGUUUGUCGCUCAACUAGCUAGAAAGCAAGAAGUCAAUCCAGCUUUCUUCUAUGAUUUUGUUGUUGACAAAGAGGGGAACUUAAUGUAUGUUUUCUGGGCAGAUGCCAUGAGUAGGAAAAACUACAGUCACUUUGGGGGUGAUUGUGUGGUAUCCUUCGAUUCUACUUACACCACUAAUCAAUACGACAUGAUCUUUGCACCAUUUACAGGGGUCAAUCAUCACUUACAGAGUGUGUUUUUUGGUGCGGCAUUCUUGUGCAAUGAGCAGACUGAGUCAUAUGUUUGGUUAUUUGAGACCUUCCUAACAGCAAUGGCAGGGGUAGCACCUAGACUCAUUAUAACUGAUGAAGCUGUUAGCAUGAAGAAUGCGAUUGAAACAGUUUUUCCGACCACAGUGCAUAGCUUAUGUAUGUGGCACAUAAUGGAAAAACUUCCGGAGAAGAUUGGACCAAUAAUUAGAGAAGAGUCUGAAUUUUGGGACAAGAUGAAUUCGUGUGUAUGGGGUUCGGAAACUCCAGCAGAGUUUGAAUCACAAUGGAAUUCCGUCAUUACGGAGUAUGGCUUGGAGGAAAAUGAGUGGCUGGUUAAAAGGUUUAGCAUUCGCGAGUCAUGGAUACCAGCUUACUUUAUGGACAUACCAUUGGCGGGUAUUCUCCGAACCACUUCAAGGUCUGAAAGUGCAAAUUCAUUUUUUAACCGUUUUAUUCAUCGUAAGCUUGCUUUGGUUGAGUUCUGGCUUAGGUUUGACACGGCAUUAGAAUGCCAACGAGAAGAAGAGUUGAUUGCAAUAUUCCUACUGAAAUUGACAUACACCCACCAACUGAUAUUCGCACGGUGGGGAGAUGCAAACGAAUAA